CUGCUCCCUUGAGCCCACGUGUUUUAUCCAGGUAGAGCAGGCUGCAGUGGCUGAAGCAAGGGGGUGGCGAGGGGGGGACCUGUGAUUAACAGGAGGAGCCAUUUGGCGACCACCUUGUGUGACCAUCUGCAACAGAUUACACUGUCAGUGCUAAUAAAAGCUGGGAUUCAAUCAACUGAACUCCAGGUACCGCAAGGGGCCCCCGCACUCCGGGGGCUGCAAUUGUUGAAGACCACGAACCCCAGCGAGCGGGGCUGGCUGGUUCAGCAUCGGCAUUCUCCUCAGCUCGGAGCUGUUUUGCUUCAUAUUAUGCUGCCAGAGUCCCAAGAGGAGAACAGAGGGCAGUGGAGAUGCUGGCUGAGUCGUGGGAGAGCGAUUUCAAAGAUACUUUCAGCCUUUCUUCCCUGGAGCUACAUCAAGGUUUCUGCGGGGAUGGCAGGCGUUGUCUUGCCCUCUAUGUACUCAUCCUCCAGCCUCCAAGAAAAUUCUAAGCUGAUCUACUCCCUGUCUCUGACUGUCACUCAAAGGCCAUCUCAGUCAUUUUUUAUCUUCGCUGCACCAGAUCUGAGGUAUGUGAUCAUGCAGGCAAAAGCCAUGAAUGGCUGGCACGUGCAGUUAGCACAACUACUCAUGAAAAUCAAAUAACUGUCUACACAAAUGAACACGAAGGUGUGCAAUCACAAAAGCCUCAUGUGUGCAUUAGAUGUGCAACUGCAUACACCUCAUUUAUAUAAACAUCAGGUACUGAAGCUUCAUAAUGGAGUUCCAGUUUUUUCAGUGAUAAGCAACAAAGAAAAGUCAUCCUUGUCCCUGGACUGGAAUUAUUCCUUUGCUCAAAGAGAUCAAAGCCUCUCUAAAUAGGUGAGUCAGGAUUGAGAAACACCCUUCUAGAACUACCUAAUCUUCCAACCAUCCGUUUAUCCUGUGCAAAUAUUGCUUUGCAGGUCACCUGCUCAGGUGGGGGGGGGUUUCCUGAGUUUCUUGCACUUGCAGACUUUAAAAGACUGCAGAGAAGAGAACGAGCACAAUAUUGUUAAGCAUU
rnacentral:lncRNA from 1 species